UACUCUCUCUCUCCAUCUCUUUCUUACUCUCUCUCUCUCUCUCUCUCUCUCUCUCACAUACCUAUCGUCUUCAUCCUUCUAAUAUACGAAAGUCUCUCUCUCUCUCUUUCUCUCACACAUAUUUGACAAACGUAUGUAUUCUUUGAUUUUUAGUUCCCUCACUGAUUGAUGAACUAAUUUGGUGAGUCCACCUGAUACAGAAGCAAUAAGAUAAACAGAUUUGGUUUUCAGAGAGUUAAAUAGAUUUCAUGGCUUUUGGGGGGUUUUUAGGCACACAUGAACAAUCCCAUCGACUUUGAAGGUUAUUGACGCACAUACAUAAACACACGAUGACUUUGUGCUUCGGGGUUUUCUUUUCCACAAACUUAUCGAGUUUCUGGACAGGUUUUAGGGUAAUUGUUUUCGAUUUCAUUUAUGGGCACACAUAAUUUCAAUUUCCUUUAUGGGCACAUACUAACACCAACCAUCACUACACCUAUUGAGAAUCAGAAUUCAAGAUCAAAGUUGGUCUUGGUCAUCUUUACGAGUACAACUCUUAUAAUAUUUGAUACAUCAUACAUGCAUAAGAGGAGAGGGGCGCUAUAUCUGUUUUGGCCUUCUGGGUGAACAAUUCAGAAAAAGGGUGAAGUAUUUUCUCUUGAUUUUCUGAAGUUCUUGGGGGCACCACAACACAUCUGUUCUUCGAGAAUACAUAUAAACCCAUACAUUGGGUCUCGGGUGAUUCAAAGAGAAGGGGAUGAAAAGAAUGUGAUCAAUAUCUUCUUAAAUACGUUCUAAUGCUAAUUUUAACAUUGUAUAUCUACUGAUGCAUGUGAGAUUCAUUGCCAUCACUGAUAGGAGAACACUUUCCUUCUAUAUGGCUUUUAUUUUGAAUCAAAUAUAAACACGGAAACAAUGAUACA